AAGUCGUAACAAGGUAACCGUAGGUGAACCUGCGGUUGGAUCAUUAAAAAUUGUUUGGUCUUUGUGCCAAAUCAACAUUUGUGUGCACCAUUGACUGUCUUUGGUAGUUCGAGCUGCGCCUGAGCGGGACUCAACAUCCUGUUCGCGCCUACCCUCCCACGUUCGUGUGGUUGGGUUGGGCUACCGCCUUUUUUGAACAAACCUUUUGUAGUGGUUUUUCUGUCUGAACGAAAAGUUAAUCUUUGUUGAUUAAUGAUUCUUAUACAACUUUUGACAACGGAUCUCUUGGCUCUC
rnacentral:misc_RNA from 1 species